CUUGGAUGAAAUCCUUUUCAGCUCUUUUGGUCAAAUUGAGGAGCGUAACCAUUAAGGGCUCUACUUUUGAUUGGCGAAAACAGAUCUCAGCUGUGUUAAACCCACUCCACGCCUUAUCCCCUCCCUCUCUACGAUUUACGCUGCUGGGAGGAGCUGAGUUAGGGAGGGGGGAUACUUACUGCGCCACUCACCAAAAUGUGCUUGGGCACGCCUUGUCGGCGCGGCAGACCUGACAUAAGCCACGCUUACGCCACGCAGCUGGCAAGGUAUGAAAAUAGAGCCCUAAGUGUCAAAGUGGAAGAAUAAGGAAUCUCCUAUUACCACCUGAAUUGCAGGUUGUCCUCCCUCUCAUAACAUCAGCGUGUGUUUACAGACUGAUGUUUCCAGCUGACAGGGACAUGUUAAGAUUGUGAGACAUAAUGUGGCGAGCUGUGGAUAACCGUCGGUGUUGUAACCAAUAAUUUAGAUAAAGUAGAAGUAUAUAGCCAGCAGUCAUUGAUGAUAAAUGGCCGUAUUUAAAUCAAGAUGCUUCCUAGCUCAUUUUUUUCUGCCUCAUUGACAACACGUGUAAAUGUUUUAUGUUCAACGUCCUGCAUGCUGCAAUUUAUGAAGCUUAUCAUUAGACCAUAUGGUGGUGACUGGCCUGAAUUCCAAUGUCAUCUGUGUGCAUGCAUACUGCAUGUGUGGCUGUGCUUUUGCAAGCACUGAAUAGUAAUAAACAAAAUAUGCAAGUCCCAGAUUCCAUUUCAGACUUUUACAGGACUGGACAAAUGUCUCCUCAGUCCAUCUCUCAGAAUCUAUGGGUGUGACUGAUAAAAAGGAACAUUUUUGUUUAGUUGUAUGUGUGGCUGAUGGGACAGAGAAUGACUGUUAAUCACUGGCUUCUGGUUCCUGCCAUUAUUGCUGUUUGUCUGCGCUCCUCGCUCUGAGCUGCAUUAUACCACCUCAUUUAAAACAGCGAACACUUCUUACAUAAUUCUUUAGUUUUAUCGUUAAUUUGAAUGUUAAUUUUUUAUCUCAUUGCAUUUCAUGUGUUAUUUUUUGUUCCUUUGUGUUUGCUUUUGUGUUUUUUCAGCAUGCUGACUAUGAAUGUAUGCAUGGGUAUGAGUGUGUGUGCAUGAUGUGUACUUUAAGGCGUGAUCACUUGCAUAUUUAUGGCCCAUUUGAGUAGUUGUCAGCUUCUUCUUCUUGCACAGAAGCUGUUGGGCUGGCAGGUGGGGUAGUCGUUCCCCCGGUAAACGUCUCAUCGCUCCCCUUCACUCCCUUGUACAGCCAUGCACUCAGACGUCCUCUUAGAAGGAGUGUCGAUUUACAGAUGUGCAGUGUCGCCUUAGGACUUCUCCCCUUCCUUGCAGCUAGUCUUCCUCUCCUUCCUAGCUGGUAGCGAACUUAAUGGGCCAUAGAAGACUGAGCAAAAGGUAUUGAUAUUUUAUUAAAAUCCUGACUGAUUUGCUAAAUUUGAACCUCUACCUUUGCUAUGUCUGCAACGUUUCCACCAACUUUGAAAUAAAAUAACAAUAUUAGGGUGUUUUUAUUUUCUGUAAAUGACCGCUGGUGAACAAAAAGUGGCAGUUUAAUUCAGAGUGCAAUGAUAACAAAGACAUAGGAAGUUAAUUUUGUUUUUUAUACAACAGUUUACCAAUGGUUAAACAUAUGUUGGCUUUACACCAGAGGACUUUCGGAUCAUAACCCAUAUUUUAAUAUCAGGAGACCGCACUCAAAAGGACAGUUCAGACCAUUUUUUCACUGUUAUCCUCCUCUGAGCACACACUCAGAAUGAGACCACUAGAACAUUCAAUGCUGGUGUUCAUGAUUUCACAGAUCUUGUAGAAUCAUUCAGCCCAUGGUUGCACUUCGAAAGCUACCAAAAAUUUUAUGUUGAGUGCUUUCUUUCAUGUUAAUUAGUGCAUGAGCUGACAUCAUAAUUUAGUCAAGGCCCCUUAAAUUACAAAAUACAAACUGCUUUUUUUUUGUUUGUUUGUUUGUUUGUUUGUUUCAUGGCUGUGAGUUAUAAACACACUUGAUGAUGUGUCCCGGUUAGCUCCUCUCAUUGGUUAUUGUGGGUAAUUCUUCAGAGGCAUUUGGAGACUUUAUUUUUUUCCACCUUUAUUUUUUAUGUCGCUGUGAUUCAUCAGUAGAACCUAUGAUCUCCGGCUCAUUUAAAGGCAUUUUCAUUCACAAGGGACUUUGCAGUGACUAUUCAUGGAUGAAUGUGAGCAUAUAGAGGGCAGAGUACAAUACUGAUCCUUCUAUGUGUAUUACCAGGUGGAUUGCGAUGAAAAAGACAUAAAUAGGUGAAAGCUUACACAAUCAUUGUUUCAUACAUCUGGAUUUUUUUUUUUUUUUUAACAUACGCCAGUUCUAGGUUCUUGGCAUACACAUACUGCUAGACCUCUGGAGUACUGAUGCAAAAUUGAGCUUUGGUAAAAUCGUUGAAUUGAUGCUCCUUAAAGGAUUAUUUGGACAAACAAUAGAAUAGCUCAAAUUAGGAUAUGCCACCUUAAAGUUUAAAACAGCAAUUUGACUAUAAAUCUGUACUACAACUGUCUUGUCUGAGGCCAGCCUUAGAAACAUUUAAGCAACCAAUGUUUAUUCGAGUUUUUGAAUAAUAGCUUUCACAAUAAUCUCUGGACUUGGGCCCCAUUUAUAUGUACCUGGUUAUUUUUUAAAAGGGAGACAUUAACCAUCGUUUGCACCCUUCAAUUAGACGCAAACAGAGAAUUCGCCCCUGAAAAUGAUGCUUUUCAAAAACUCCAGCCAGAGUGGAGAUUUUGGAAAACUCUGUUUCCACGUUUGCUUGUAAACAGAGAAAAACUGAGAUUUUGGAAGCUGAUGGCAGAUUGUGGGCCAGAAAGAAGGAAGUGAUGUUCUUUCUUUCUUUCUUUCUUUCUUUCUUUCUUUCUUUCUUUCUUUCUUUCUUUCUUUCUUUCUGGACAUGGUUAAAAAAAAUGUAUAUUUAAAAAAAAACACACAAAACAACAGUUAAGAAUAAAAUAAAAUAAGUGCCUCACUUAGAAGCACAUCAAUCUCACUUAUCACAACAAAAUAAGAACAAAAACAAAACCAGAGUAUCCACAUGUCCAAAAAAGGGGUAAAAAGAAGUCAAAGACUUGUCUAGUCUUACCUCUCUGUUACUGAUCUCAUUUAACUUAACUUAAACACUAUAACUAAAUGUUUUUCUUAUGUUGUUGUUGUUGUUGUUGCUGCCAUGCAGGAUUCCGAUUGGCUUACAUGGGAUUAAACUUCUCGCUACUCUGCCACCUACAGGUUUGGCAUGCUCAUGACAGCAUACAUACAUGGGUUAGUGUAAACUUUUCUGAAAACGUAGUGGUGUGCACGUAGGUUUUUUUUUUUUUUUUUUUUUUUUUUUGUUUGUGAACAGAGCGGGUGAAAUGUUCGUUUCUGAAAAUAGCCGGGCAGGUGUAAACGUAAUCUUUAAUAUAUUGUACAGUCUUGUACAUCUGUCAGGCCACAUUAUGCCACUUUUGAUACAAAGUUUUUAGCAGCUUGACUUUGUUUGUUGGCUUGUCAGGUGAUCCUCAAAUCAGUGCUUCAUCAAGCUAAAUGAGGUGAGCCCAUGUUCCAAUCUACCACACACAAUAGAGCUGCUUUCAUGCAUGUAGAGAUGCUGAUUGAAGAGAAAAUUUGAAGUUGUUACUCUCUUUUUCCAAAGCUGUAUGUUCUACCCUCUCGUAACCUCUCAUCAAGUUAAAAUGAAUGUGCAAUCAAACAUUUACACACAGACUGACAAACACUUUAUUUCAUGGGUUGAAGACCUGGGAGCUUUCCUUUUCUCUAGGAUUUAAACAUCUGUUCAGGUUAAACUGAGGUGCUUCUCUGUUUGCUUCAAGAUGUUUCAAAGUUUUAGAAACAGACUGGACUUUGUAUACCUUUUAAUCAUUUUUGAAGCAGUUACUUUGGUGCGGGAUGUCGGAGUGUGAGGAUCUUCCUUCAUCAACAGAGACAACUAUUCUCUUGUGAUUGACCGAGUUCCUGGAACGGCUCACUCUUACUUCAUCAAUUAUUCAUUCUGCUGUGAACUCAGUUUGGCUGCAGAGUGCAUGACCUGUCUUGUGCAUGAGCCUGACUGCUGUAUAAUCUUGACCUGCUUCUGCUUAUCCUGGAGGAGCUUGGUUACCCUAUGGUGAAUGCUAGAUAUCUUGCUUUGCUGAGUCACAAAUCUGCUGAUAUCUUGAUGUUUUGAUGAACAGAUGAAAUAGAAAAAGCCUUUUUUUGUGUGUGUGUGCAGAGCUGUCCUGAUGUGGGAAGCUAUCACAAAAAAGGUAUGUUUAUGCUUUUCACUCCACUGAUGUAUCAGUAAAUGAUAGUAAAAGGAUAUGAAUACACAGAACAAAACAGACACACUGCACCACAUUCUAAUGUUUAAUGGAAGUAGGAGCAGAAAAAAAAAGUGUGUCAGUGUUUAGAGCUUCACCUGUAAAACUUUGCAUUGUGCAUUAAAAUCAACAACAGCUGUUUUAUGAAGUAAACGAUAAAAAACGGAUGAGCUUUUUUUGGUGUUCUUAAAUCAAUAGUAUAUCCAAAUAUAAAAUACUUUGUUUAAGCAGGGUACAAAUGUUAUUAUGCUGAUUUAAAAUCCCAAAUACUUGAUUUGAUUUUUUACAUUUUUUAAUCAGAUAUGCCAUUGUGUUUGAGAGCCCUAAGAACAGUUAAGUACACAUUCUGUGGAUUGUCACGAGUGUAGGACACUUAACCCGGACCUUUCUCUGCUGGCUGCACGAACCCAGCUGUGUGUAAAUGGGAUUGUUUGAAACUGAUGAGUGCUUUACAUGGAUAUGGUGUUAAUGGGUUAAUGUGAUACGUAAUAUAAGUGCUUUGAAUGAUCAGAUCCUAAAGUCUUUUAAUGGAAUCUGCUGUAGGGUUUUUGCAUGCCUAUUUUCUCAGCUAUAUUUCACCUGUUAGUUCUUCAAAGGCUGCAGACUCAGCAGUCAAUAUAGGAAGCAUGUCUUAAGCAACAUACCUUACAACCAAUCUGUUUUAUCUGGCUGACAGAUUGGGGAGCUGGAGGUGAUUCAAAACCAAGCCUUGGCUGUGGCUCUUUGGAUGGAGUGGCUUCUCCCUGGUCUGCCAAGCUAUCAUGAGAUCUACACAAGGGUCACCAGUGUUUGCUGUGGAUGCAGGGUCGUAGACGGCUACCUGAGUAAAGAUGUUUUGUUUGGUUUGGUGCUCUGUGAUAUGAGAAUGACUACAACGUUUUUUUUUUUUUUUUUUUUCUUUUACCAUGAGGAGGGAAAAUUAGGCUGGCAUUAUCAAGCCCAGAAAAAUACUCCGCAAGCUCUGUAUAUAUACUCCGUGCUCAUGUACGCUCUUCAUGAUUAUGUUUUCAAGGUUUAAUCGGACUGAACAUCAUUCUUUUAACUUUUCUUCUUUACAGUCCAGUCUCAAAUGAAUGGGAGCUCAUCUCCUUGUGCAUAUAUCCUAUAUACAUAUAGUCCAUGGUGAUGGGAAUCAGGGGUACUCUACCUUCAGUUGCAUCUCACAUGAAGAGCCCUGAAGAGCAAUUACAGCCUUUUUUUUCUUUUUUUUUUAAGAAGAGGCAUAAUGACUUGGAUUUUAAAGGGCUUGGUUUAGCAGCAGUGGUACUCCAGAAUAAAGCCAGUUUGUCUGAGACUCUUCUGAAGCUUUAUGGUAUCAGGGUUGACAGUUUUCAGAGGUAGGUUUUGGUCUGAACUUCUAUAGCAGAUGUAUUUCUGUGUUUGUUUGUAUCAUGAUAUAGAAUGGAUGAAUUGGACACUCAGCUUUUCAAGUGCAGGGAAAAAAAGCUGUGCUUUGAAAUGUUGUCAGUCAGAGGAUUCAGAUGCUGUUUAGCACAUAAGUUGUUAGAGGCUUUUUGCUAUUAUGAAAACAGGUUUGAGCAAUAGACUGUAAAUAGAAUUUUAUUUAUGUAUUUUUAAUGUAAUUUAUGUCUACUCAGAAAUAUAGUCAGUUCUAAAGUAAUAGUACUAUUUGUUGAGAAACUACCUAGAGACUUGAAGUAAAAGCUAGUCCAUCACUCUUAGUUUUCUCAUACCAACUCUGGUGUUUGGGUCAGUUUUUUAUUGCUGCUGCAAAGACCUUCCAGUUUGGUCAGUUUUUUUGCACCCCCAGUGGGGAACUUAAAAAAAAAAAUCUCAAUGGGGCUUAAAGUAGCACAAGUACUCUGCAAGUACAGGCUGAGCUGAUGAGGAUCUCCUGUGGGUAAUACACACACUACUGACCUUCAGAGAAACACAAAUAUAUUGAAAGGAGUGUUGGCCUUCAUUAGAGGGGACCUUUUAUGCUGAGCUGUACUUGAAUACUUAUUUUUAAUGUUACAAUGUUGGAUGUCCGUAUGUAACCUUGGCAGGGUUUCAUCACAUGGGAUUCACUCCCCAGAUGAAUUUUCUAACUUUUCUGAACAUCAAAGCAUGGCCUUAACCUGACUGACAUCAGGUUGUCAGUCAAAACAGUGCUAACAGACGAGCCCACCUAGAAGCUGAAAAGUCAAUUUCCCUGCACAUCUUUCUGCUCUUUCCUGAUUCAGUAUAUCUCUAAAAGUUGCUCUUAAGUGUUCCUCUGACUUGAAGGACAGUGACAGCUUUUUUUCUCUUCCAAAAGAUGUAAACACCACGAAACUAUUGGAAAACAGUAUAUUUUUGAGACAUUCAAAGCCACAACAGCUGUUUGUGUUCACUGAUGACCCCAUUGUAAACAAAGGCCAGUACAGGCUGGAUCUGCAAGUCCAUGCAGGUUGAGAACCACAAGAUGCAAGUAACAACAUAAUAGCAGGUGAUGUUGCAGUAUUUAACAUGUUAACACAGCAAAAUGGGCCCUGAUUACUGGCGUCCGAUGUUUAUUUUUAUUUUUUAUUUUUUUUUUUGGGAAAAGGAUAACUUAUGUGACAUUUUGUGACUGCAAAGCUGUUUAAAAAAGUAACACUCCAAGUUGUGUCUAUCUUUGUAUCAGCUGACAAGUAGCCAUAUUAAAGGAAUAUUCCAGCGUAAAAUUAAGUUAGGGUCAAACACACCAUAACUCCAAGUUAGACUUUAGUAACUUUAGUAACGACCGCAGGAUAGCAAUACACAGCAGUCUGAGGAGCCAUAAACAAAUCUCAACCAAAACGCCACUCUAUAGCCACAAAUAAUGCUCAGAACAGCACCUAACCUCAUCAACAGUACAUAUAGGGUCCCAGCCAUAGUACUAGUCACCAAACAUCUUUCGGUAGUUCCUCUGACUUAGCGUCUCGGUCUGAUUGCAUUCCCAUGAAGAAAUGAUCAUAAAUGUUCUUCCUUGAGCUGUGUCACCCGCAGUAGUCCGUAAUGGACUCACCCAAAGUCUUGCUACAAACAAGCGACUGCUUGAAAAGAAAGAUGUUUGAUGGCUAGUGCUAUGGCUGGGACCCUAUAUGUACUGUUGAUGAAGUUAGGUGCUGUUCUGAGCAUUAUUUGUGGCUAUAGAGUGGCUUUUUGGUUGAGGUUUGUUUAUGGCUCCUUAGACCGCUGUGUGUUGCUAUCUUGCGGUCGUUACUAAAGUUGGUAUAACUAGAGAAGCAAGAGAUCGACAAUCAACAUUCAUCUCUUGGGGAAGGGGGGUAACUUGGUGGUAACCUAUACUAAUUUUACGCUGGAAUAUCCCUUUAAAGCAUUUCAGACUGAGGCUGAAUAGUGCUGAAAUGAAGAAGGAAGUUUUCUUUUUGCUGUAAAUCAUGCACAGUUACUCUCAGAAAUACAGAAUUUUCAAAAGAACUAUAAAAAAAAAAACAGACAGAAACACAAUGAGAUGGUCAUGAGUGGGGAAUUUAUACAUUUUGAAGAAAACUGAUUGAUAGGAAGACAAAAGUAUGUGGUUUGACAAAUUGUGUAAAAACAAGCUCUGGGGUCUGCAGGUCUAAUCUGAAGGAUUGAAGGAUUUCUUUCUGUAAAUCCACUUACAGCAGGCUUAGUGACUGCAUCCAUCAAAUCUGCUGCAAUCCUUGAUGCAUCUUUUCUGCAGUUCUUCUAGCUCUGGGACAGAGAGAUGACAUCACCUCUUCGUUAUCAUUUAGAAACACCUCUGAUUGGCUAAUUGCAUCUUCAGCUAAGGGAAAAGCCAUUAACAAGCACCAUACUGUGCUUCCUUUUUUGCCACAUUUGUAGGAAGGGGUUUGGGAUCACGAUAAAGAGAACACUGAAAAUAGACGCUGUGAGCAUCGCAAAGAUCCUUUCUUGACUGAAAUGGAAGUGGAGCCAGAAACCGCAGUGACAAUUAUCUCAAAAUUGAGA